GUAGGUGAACCUGCGGAAGGAUCAUUACAAAUCCAAAACAAAAACCCGUUAAAAUGUUCUCGGCCUUGGGAUAUCGGUUGAUGUAGUAAGACAUGCGCUCUUCGGACUGCAAUCCAACUACCUCGCACCCCUAUCAAAGCAAAUUUGCCCUAAUUAUCUGUUUGCCGUAAAAUGCAAAUUGGAGAAUAAUGGCUGUUUCUUUAAACCAAGGUCCGAUCAAAUGACUUUACAAUUGCCAUUAAUAACCAAGUCGAUUAAAUUCGUCAAACAAAAACAACUUUUAACAAUGGAUAUCUUGGUUCUC
rnacentral:misc_RNA from 1 species